rnacentral:tRNA from 1 species
GAAGGUACAGCGCAGUGGUAGAGCGCGUGCUCAGCAAGCAUGAGGUCCUGGGUUCAGUCCCCAGCACCUCCA